rnacentral:rRNA from 1 species
UGAGUAACGCGUGGGUAACCUGCCUCAUACGAGGGGAUAACAGUUAGAAAUGACUGCUAAUACCGCAUAAGCGCACAGUGCUGCAUGGCACAGUGUGAAAAACUCCGGUGGUAUGAGAUGGACCCGCGUCUGAUUAGCUAGUUGGUGGGGUAACGGCCUACCAAGGCGACGAUCAGUAGCCGGCCUGAGAGGGUGGACGGCCACAUUGGGACUGAGACACGGCCCAAACUCCUACGGGAGGCAGCAUG